rnacentral:rRNA from 1 species
UACGUAGGGUGCAAGCGUUAAUCGGAAUUACUGGGCGUAAAGCGUGCGCAGGCGGUUUUGUAAGUCUGACGUGAAAGCCCCGGGCUUAACCUGGGAAUUGCGUUGGAGACUGCAAGGCUUGAAUCUGGCAGAGGGGGGGUAGAAUUCCACGUGUAGCAGUGAAAUGCGUAGAGAUGUGGAGGAACACCGAUGGCGAAGGCAGCCCCCUGGGUCAAGAUUGACGCUCAUGCACGAAAGCGUGGGGAGCAAACAGG